ACGGAAGGCAGCAGUGGGGAAUAUUGGGCAAUGGGCGCAAGCCUGACCCAGCAAUGCCGCGUGAAGGAAGAAGGCUUUCGGGUUGUAAACUUCUUUUAUGAGGGACGAAACAAAUGACGGUACCUCAUGAAUAAGCCACGGCUAACUACGUGCCAGCAGCCGCGGUAAUACGUAGGUGGCAAGCGUUAUCCGGAUUUACUGGGUGUAAAGGGCGCGUAGGCGGGAAUGCAAGUCAGAUGUGAAAUCUCUGGGCUCAACCCAGAAACUGCAUUUGAAACUGUAUUUCUUGAGUGCUGGAGAGGUAGAUGGAAUUCCUAGUGUAGCGGUGAAAUGCGUAGAUAUUAGGAAGAACACCAGUGGCGAAGGCGAUCUACUGGACAGUAACUGACGCUGAGGCGCGAAAGCGUGGGGAGCAAACAGGAUUAGAUACCCUGGUA
rnacentral:rRNA from 1 species